rnacentral:sRNA from 1 species
UUCGACUAAGGUUCGGCUCGAGCGUCAGCGAGAGAGCGUUGCCGCAGGCAACGACCCGAAGGGCGAAGCGCGCAGCGCUGAGUAAUCCUUCCCCCACCACCA